CAGUCGCCGCGGUAAUACGUAGGGUGCAAGCGUUAAUCGGAAUUACUGGGCGUAAAGCGUGCGCAGGCGGUUAUAUAAGACAGAUGUGAAAUCCCCGGGCUCAACCUGGGAACUGCAUUUGUGACUGUAUAGCUAGAGUACGGCAGAGGGGGAUGGAAUUCCGCGUGUAGCAGUGAAAUGCGUAGAUAUGCGGAGGAACACCGAUGGCGAAGGCAAUCCCCUGGGCCUGUACUGACGCUCAUGCACGAAAGCGUGGGGAGCAAACAGGAUUAGAUACCCCGGUAGUCCUGUCUCUUAUACA
rnacentral:rRNA from 1 species